rnacentral:rRNA from 1 species
UACGUAGGUGACCAGCGUUGUCCGGAUUUACUGGGCGUAAAGAGCGCGCAGGCGGUCGGUCAAGUCGAGUGUGAAAGCCCCCGGCUCAACUGGGGAGGGUCAUUCGAUACUGAUCGACUCGAAGGCAGGAGAGGGAAGCGGAAUUCCCGGUGUAGUGGUGAAAUGCGUAGAUAUCGGGAGGAACACCAGUGGCGAAGGCGGCUUCCUGGCCUGUUCUUGACGCUGAGGCGCGAAAGCUAGGGGAGCAAACAGG